GGGUUGUGAGGUUAAGCGAACAAGCGUACACGGUGGAUGCCCUGGCAGUCAGAGGCGAUGAAGGACGUGCUAAUCUGCGAAAAGCGCCGGUAAGGUGAUAUGAACCGUUAUAACCGGCGAUGUCCGAAUGGGGAAACCCGGUGCACUUCGGUGCAUCAUCGUUAGCUGAAUACAUAGGCUAACGAGGCGAACCGGGGGAACUGAAACAUCUAAGUACCCCGAGGAAAAGAAAUCAACCGAGAUUCCCCCAGUAGCGGCGAGCGAACGGGGAACAGCCCAGAGCCUGAAUCAGCUUGUGUGUCAGUGGAACGGUCUGGAAAGGCCGGCGAUACAGGGUGACAGCCCCGUACACGAAGGCACACAGGCUGUGAGCUCGAUGAGUAGGGCGGGACACGUGAUAUCCUGUCUGAAGAUGGGGGGACCAUCCUCCAAGGCUAAAUACUCCUGACUGACCGAUAGUGAACCAGUACCGUGAGGGAAAGGCGAAAAGAACCCCGGCGAGGGGAGUGAAACAGAACCUGAAACCGUGUACGUACAAGCAGUGGGAGCCUUCGUAAGAGGGUGACUGCGUACCUUUUGUAUAAUGGGUCAGCGACUUAUAUUCUGUAGCAAGGUUAACCGUAUAGGGGAGCCGAAGGGAAACCGAGUCUUAACCGGGCGUUAAGUUGCAGGGUAUAGACCCGAAACCCGGUGAUCUAGCCAUGGGCAGGUUGAAGGUUGGGUAACACUAACUGGAGGACCGAACCGACUAAUGUUGAAAAAUUAGCGGAUGACCUGUGGCUGGGGGUGAAAGGCCAAUCAAACCGGGAGAUAGCUGGUUCUCCCCGAAAGCUAUUUAGGUAGCGCCUCGUGAACUCAUCUCCGGGGGUAGAGCACUGUUUCGGCUAGGGGGCCAUCCCGGCUUACCAACCCGAUGCAAACUGCGAAUACCGGAGAAUGUUAUCACGGGAGACACACGGCGGGUGCUAACGUCCGUCGUGAAGAGGGAAACAACCCAGACCGCCAGCUAAGGUCCCAAAGUCAUGGUUAAGUGGGAAACGAUGUGGGAAGGCCCAGACAGCCAGGAUGUUGGCUUAGAAGCAGCCAUCAUUUAAAGAAAGCGUAAUAGCUCACUGGUCGAGUCGGCCUGCGCGGAAGAUGUAACGGGGCUAAACCAUGCACCGAAGCUGCGGCAGCGACGCUUAUGCGUUGUUGGGUAGGGGAGCGUUCUGUAAGCCUGCGAAGGUGUGCUGUGAGGCAUGCUGGAGGUAUCAGAAGUGCGAAUGCUGACAUAAGUAACGAUAAAGCGGGUGAAAAGCCCGCUCGCCGGAAGACCAAGGGUUCCUGUCCAACGUUAAUCGGGGCAGGGUGAGUCGACCCCUAAGGCGAGGCCGAAAGGCGUAGUCGAUGGGAAACAGGUUAAUAUUCCUGUACUUGGUGUUACUGCGAAGGGGGGACGGAGAAGGCUAUGUCGGCCGGGCGACGGUUGUCCCGGUUUAAGCGUGUAGGCUGACUUUCCAGGCAAAUCCGGAAAGUUAAGGCUGAGGCGUGAUGACGAGGCACCACGGUGCUGAAGUGACAAAUGCCCUGCUUCCAGGAAAAGCCUCUAAGCAUCAGGUAACAUCAAAUCGUACCCCAAACCGACACAGGUGGUCAGGUAGAGAAUACCAAGGCGCUUGAGAGAACUCGGGUGAAGGAACUAGGCAAAAUGGUGCCGUAACUUCGGGAGAAGGCACGCUGACAUGUAGGUGAAGCCCCUGCGGGUGGAGCUGAAGUCAGUCGAAGAUACCAGCUGGCUGCAACUGUUUAUUAAAAACACAGCACUGUGCAAACACGAAAGUGGACGUAUACGGUGUGACGCCUGCCCGGUGCCGGAAGGUUAAUUGAUGGGGUUAUCGCAAGAGAAGCUCCUGAUCGAAGCCCCGGUAAACGGCGGCCGUAACUAUAACGGUCCUAAGGUAGCGAAAUUCCUUGUCGGGUAAGUUCCGACCUGCACGAAUGGCGUAAUGAUGGCCAGGCUGUCUCCACCCGAGACUCAGUGAAAUUGAACUCGCUGUGAAGAUGCAGUGUACCCGCGGCAAGACGGAAAGACCCCGUGAACCUUUACUACAGCUUGACACUGAACAUUGAGCCUUGAUGUGUAGGAUAGGUGGGAGGCUUUGAAGCGUGGACGCCAGUCUGCGUGGAGCCGACCUUGAAAUACCACCCUUUAAUGUUUGAUGUUCUAACCUGGCGCCGUGAUCCGGCGUGGGGACAGUGUCUGGUGGGUAGUUUGACUGGGGCGGUCUCCUCCCAAAGUGUAACGGAGGAGCACGAAGGUCAGCUAAUCCUGGUCGGACAUCAGGAGGUUAGUGCAAUGGCAUAAGCUGGCUUGACUGCGAGAGUGACGGCUCGAGCAGGUGCGAAAGCAGGUCAUAGUGAUCCGGUGGUUCUGUAUGGAAGGGCCAUCGCUCAACGGAUAAAAGGUACUCCGGGGAUAACAGGCUGAUACCGCCCAAGAGUUCAUAUCGACGGCGGUGUUUGGCACCUCGAUGUCGGCUCAUCACAUCCUGGGGCUGAAGUAGGUCCCAAGGGUAUGGCUGUUCGCCAUUUAAAGUGGUACGCGAGCUGGGUUUAGAACGUCGUGAGACAGUUCGGUCCCUAUCUGCCGUGGGCGCUGGAGAAUUGAGGGGGGCUGCUCCCAGUACGAGAGGACCGGAGUGGACGCAUCACUGGUGUUCGGGUUGUCAUGCCAAUGGCACUGCCCGGUAGCUAAAUGCGGAAGAGAUAAGUGCUGAAAGCAUCUAAGCACGAAACUUGCCCCGAGAUGAGUUCUCCCUGAGACUAUAAGUCUCCUGAAGGAACGUUGAAGACGACGACGUUGAUAGGCCGGGUGUGUAAGCGCAGAG
rnacentral:rRNA from 1 species